UCAUAUGAAGACGCUUGAGGUGCUGACCGGUUUUCGGACCGGUCGGAGAAUUGGGAAGCCGGUUUGAUGCCGGCGCUGCCCCCGCAACGGUAGCAGAACUCAAAUGCGACGGAAAUCCACUGGGCAAGAUGCCUGGGAAGGAGUCGCACAGUCCGAAAGGACGGUUCUGGAGCCCGGAAACCAGCCUCGACGUUUUGAACUCG
rnacentral:ncRNA from 2 species